GAACGGAAAGGCCCUGCUUUUGUGGGGUGCUCGAGUGGCGAACGGGUGAGUAACACGUGAGUAACCUGCCCUUGACUUUGGGAUAACUUCAGGAAACUGGGGCUAAUACCGGAUAGGAGCUCCUGCUGCAUGGUGGGGGUUGGAAAGUUUCGGCGGUUGGGGAUGGACUCGCGGCUUAUCAGCUUGUUGGUGGGGUAGUGGCUUACCAAGGCUUUGACGGGUAGCCGGCCUGAGAGGGUGACCGGCCACAUUGGGACUGAGAUACGGCCCAGACUCCUACGGGAGGCAGCAGUGGGGAAUAUUGCACAAUGGGCGGAAGCCUGAUGCAGCAACGCCGCGUGCGGGAUGACGGCCUUCGGGUUGUAAACCGCUUUCGCCUGUGACGAAGCGUGAGUGACGGUAAUGGGUAAAGAAGCACCGGCUAACUACGUG
rnacentral:rRNA from 1 species